GAUGAACGCUGGCGGCGUGCCUAAUACAUGCAAGUCGAGCGAACGGACGAGAAGCUUGCUUCUCUGAUGUUAGCGGCGGACGGGUGAGUAACACGUGGAUAACCUACCUAUAAGACUGGGAUAACUUCGGGAAACCGGAGCUAAUACCGGAUAAUAUUUUGAACCGCAUGGUUCAAAAGUGAAAGACGGUCUUGCUGUCACUUAUAGAUGGAUCCGCGCUGCAUUAGCUAGUUGGUAAGGUAACAGCUUACCAAGGCAACGAUGCAUAGCCGACCUGAGAGGGUGAUCGGCCACACUGGAACUGAGACACGGUCCAGACUCCUACGGGAGGCAGCAGUAGGGAAUCUUCCGCAAUGGGCGAAAGCCUGACGGAGCAACGCCGCGUGAGUGAUGAAGGUCUUCGGAUCGUAAAACUCUGUUAUUAGGGAAGAACAUAUGUGUAAGUAACUGUGCACAUCUUGACGGUACCUAAUCAGAAAGCCACGGCUAACUACGUGCCAGCAGCCGCGGUAAUACGUAGGUGGCAAGCGUUAUCCGGAAUUAUUGGGCGUAAAGCGCGCGUAGGCGGUUUUUUAAGUCUGAUGUGAAAGCCCACGGCUCAACCGUGGAGGGUCAUUGGAAACUGGAAAACUUGAGUGCAGAAGAGGAAAGUGGAAUUCCAUGUGUAGCGGUGAAAUGCGCAGAGAUAUGGAGGAACACCAGUGGCGAAGGCGACUUUCUGGUCUGUAACUGACGCUGAUGUGCGAAAGCGUGGGGAUCAAACAGGAUUAGAUACCCUGGUAGUCCACGCCGUAAACGAUGAGUGCUAAGUGUUAGGGGGUUUCCGCCCCUUAGUGCUGCAGCUAACGCAUUAAGCACUCCGCCUGGGGAGUACGACCGCAAGGUUGAAACUCAAAGGAAUUGACGGGGACCCGCACAAGCGGUGGAGCAUGUGGUUUAAUUCGAAGCAACGCGAAGAACCUUACCAAAUCUUGACAUCCUUUGACAACUCUAGAGAUAGAGCCUUCCCCUUCGGGGGACAAAGUGACAGGUGGUGCAUGGUUGUCGUCAGCUCGUGUCGUGAGAUGUUGGGUUAAGUCCCGCAACGAGCGCAACCCUUAAGCUUAGUUGCCAUCAUUAAGUUGGGCACUCUAAGUUGACUGCCGGUGACAAACCGGAGGAAGGUGGGGAUGACGUCAAAUCAUCAUGCCCCUUAUGAUUUGGGCUACACACGUGCUACAAUGGACAAUACAAAGGGCAGCGAAACCGCGAGGUCAAGCAAAUCCCAUAAAGUUGUUCUCAGUUCGGAUUGUAGUCUGCAACUCGACUACAUGAAGCUGGAAUCGCUAGUAAUCGUAGAUCAGCAUGCUACGGUGAAUACGUUCCCGGGUCU
rnacentral:rRNA from 1 species